AUGCUGAACCAAGUGGGAAGGGUUUGCAAAGGUUUUACAUCCCUGAGCCCAGGCCACUUCCAGACCAUCAGAUUCUUCCACCUUAACCCUGUUUGGAUUGUGUGGAGUUUCUCCCUUGUGAUGGGGACACCCCUCGAGGUUCAGAGAGAGAGAUCUGCUCACAGGCUUUGGUUUGUUGAACCUGGAUUAAAGGAGAAUUUAUCUGGCAGGAAAUUUAUUUAAAUGCCAUCACCUGAAUCUUCAUCCCCACACACCUGGGGAAGCCCUGGGGGGACUUGUCUGGAGCUGAUGGUUCCUGUUCCACUGUGAUCCCCAAGGAACUGCAGGAAUCCACAGAACCAGAACAUCUUUUCAAGGUGCACCCCAUGAAAUCCAAAGUGUUCCUGAGGACUUUCCGAGCAAAGCUUUGGCAAUUCCAGAUCUUCAGCCAAGAAUGGGGGGUUCCUAAUCAAGAGUCCCAUGGUUUGAUUUGAUGACCUUGGAGGUCUUUUUCCAAUGUGGAUGAUUCUAGAAAAUAAGUGGCACCACAAGAAGCUGAAGAACAUUUUGAGGUGCCACUGGAACCAGGAGAACAAUGACAGAAACACAGAAGAGCAAUGUAAAAGAAUCCUUGUUAGAUUUCAAAAUAAGUGAAUUUUUGUAAAUGUUUCACUUUAAAUUCUAAAUAAUGUGAAAGAUACUUAGAAUAUUAAUUGGGAAAUUUUAGAACUAUAACGUGCAUCAUCUUCUCCCCUUACAUUUUCCUUUUUUUUUUUUGUCUCAUGUUUUCUCAUUUCCUUUUUAUUCCUCAAGAAUCCCUAAACAAUCACAGACAUUCCUCAUCCUUGGAGUCGUUUGCUGUCCUUAUCAGGAUUUUGUCACAAAAAUGAAGAGUUUAAUCCCCCCUAAUCAUACAUCAAAUGGCAAAUCACUCCAUCUCCUCAACCUUUGGAGUGUUCUGCAGUUGGAUGAACAUCCCAUUGCUGUUGUGCCCUUCUUCAGCCUCGGCAGCCUGGGAGGAGCUGGAUGGAAAUCCAGCAUUUUGGAAGGUUGAGAUGGUCAGUCAGGCUGGGUUUGUUCUGCCCACGUGCUAAGCUGGGCAUAAAGCUUUAUUUUGUAUGGUGGUUUUAUUUUGUGUUGCUUUAUGAUCAUGAAUCAAACUCAAAAAAGCCCAAACUCAGGAAUGGCACAAAUCAAUUGGUGUGGGUUUGACUGUAAGGAGAGAGAGGAAAAAAAAAAGGGAGGGGGCCUUUUUCUCUCUGCUUUCUUUUUCAGCUGUGUUUGAGCUGCUAAUUGAAACCAUCUCCUGGGCUCCAGCUGGUGCAGUUCCAGCCGGGAGGAGGCUCCUUCGGCGUAGGUAAUGUCUGUUUGAAUUUGUAAAGCUUUAACCUGCCUCAGCCAGCAGAUG